CCUACGGGAGGCAGCAGUGGGGAAUUUUGGACAAUGGGCGAAAGCCUGAUCCAGCAAUGCCGCGUGAGUGAAGAAGGCCUUCGGGUUGUAAAGCUCUUUUGUCAGGGAAGAAACGGUGUGGGCUAAUAUCCCGCACUAAUGACGGUACCUGAAGAAUAAGCACCGGCUAACUACGUGCCAGCAGCCGCGGUAAUACGUAGGGUGCAAGCGUUAAUCGGAAUUACUGGGCGUAAAGCGUGCGCAGGCGGUUUUGUAAGUUUGUCGUGAAAGCCCCGGGCUCAACCUGGGAAUUGCGAUGAAGACUGCAAGGCUUGAAUCUGGCAGAGGGGGGUAGAAUUCCACGUGUAGCAGUGAAAUGCGUAGAGAUGUGGAGGAACACCGAUGGCGAAGGCAGCCCCCUGGGUCAAGAUUGACGCUCAUGCACGAAAGCGUGGGGAGCAAACAGGAUUAGAUACCCUGGUAGUCCACGCCCUAAACGAUGUCUACUAGUUGUCGGGUUUUAAUUAACUUGGUAACGCAGCUAACGCGUGAAGUAGACCGCCUGGGGAGUACGGUCGCAAAGAAUUAAAAACUCAAAAGGAAUUGACGGCUGAGCGNGCGAGAGACGACGAGGAGAG
rnacentral:rRNA from 1 species